GUGCCAGCGCCGCGGUAAUACUGGCAGCCCGAGUGAUGGCCGAUCUUAUUGGGCCUAAAGCGUCCGUAGCUGGCCGCGCAAGUCCAUCGGGAAAUCCACCCGCCCAACGGGUGGGCGUCCGGUAGAAACUGGCCGGCUUGGAACCGGAAGGCUCAGAGAGUACGUCCGGGGUAGGAGUGAAAUCCCGUAAUCCCGGACGGACUACCGAUGGCGAAAGCACUUCGAGAAAACGGAUCCGACAGUGAGGGACGAAAGCCAGGGUCUCCAACCGGAUUAGAAACCCGGGUAGCC
rnacentral:rRNA from 1 species